GAUGAACGCCGGCGGCGUGCCUAAUACAUGCAAGUCGAGCGAACGGACGAGAAGCUUGCUUCUCUGAUGUUAGCGGCGGACGGGUGAGUAACACGUGGAUAACCUACCUAUAAGACUGGGAUAACUUCGGGAAACCGGAGCUAAUACCAGAUAAUAUUUUGAACCGCAUGGUUCAAAAGUGAAAAACGGUCUUGCUGUCACUUAUAGAUGGAUCCGCGCUGCAUUAGCUAGUUGGUAAGGUAACGGCUUACCAAGGCAACGAUGCAUAGCCGACCUGAGAGGGUGAUCGGCCACACUGGAACUGAGACACGGUCCAGACUCCUACGGGAGGCAGCAGUAGGGAAUCUUCCGCAAUGGGCGAAAGCCUGACGGAGCAACGCCGCGUGAGUGAUGAAGGUCUUCGGAUCGUAAAACUCUGUUAUUAGGGAAGAACAUAUGUGUAAGUAACUGUGCACAUCUUGACGGUACCUAAUCAGAAAGCCACGGCUAACUACGUG
rnacentral:rRNA from 1 species